AACGAACGCUGGCGGCAUGCCUAACACAUGCAAGUCGAACGAGACCUUCGGGUCUAGUGGCGCACGGGUGCGUAACGCGUGGGAACCUGCCCUUAGGUUCGGAAUAACUCCCCGAAAGGGGUGCUAAUACCGGAUAAUGUCUUCGGACCAAAGAUUUAUCGCCUUUGGAUGGGCCCGCGUUGGAUUAGCUAGUUGGUAGGGUAAAAGCCUACCAAGGCGACGAUCCAUAGCUGGUCUGAGAGGAUGAUCAGCCACACUGGGACUGAGACACGGCCCAGACUCCUAUGGGAGGCAGCAGUGGGGAAUAUUGGACAAUGGGCGAAAGCCUGAUCCAGCAAUGCCGCGUGAGUGAUGAAGGCCUUAGGGUUGUAAAGCUCUUUUACCCGGGAUGAUAAUGACAGUACCGGGAGAAUAAGCUCCGGCUAACUCCAUG
rnacentral:rRNA from 1 species